rnacentral:rRNA from 1 species
CCCUAUUAUUUAAGAGCUAAAUAUUGUAAGUAUAUAAUAAUUAUGAAAGCAAAAAAUUAUGGCGGUAUUUUAAGCUUUUCAGAGGAAUUUGCUCUUUAAUGGAUAAAACACCUAAAUCUUACUUAAAUUUGUUAAAUCAACUUGUAUACCACUAUUAAAACAAUUAUUAACUCUAAUUGUUAAUAUUUAAAACAUAAAUUAAUUUAAAUUAAGUCAAGGUGCAGUAAAAAUUUAAGAAUGAAGUGAAUUACAUUACUUUUAAGGGAAAUAGAAUUAAAUAAAGUUUAGGAUUUGAAAGUAAAAUUAAAAUAGAAUGUUAAUUUGAAUUAAGCUCUAAAAUAUGUACAUAUCGCCCGUCACUCUUUUUUAA